rnacentral:rRNA from 1 species
CCUACGGGAGGCAGCAGUGGGGAAUUUUGGACAAUGGGCGCAAGCCUGAUCCAGCAAUGCCGCGUGAGUGAAGAAGGCCUUCGGGUUGUAAAGCUCUUUUGUCAGGGAAGAAACGGCCGAGGCUAAUACCUUUGGCUAAUGACGGUACCUGAAGAAUAAGCACCGGCUAACUACGUGCCAGCAGCCGCGGUAAUACGUAGGGUGCAAGCGUUAAUCGGAAUUACUGGGCGUAAAGCGUGCGCAGGCGGUUUUGUAAGUCUGACGUGAAAUCCCCGGGCUCAACCUGGGAAUUGCGUUGGAGACUGCAGGGCUGGAGUCUGGCAGAGGGGGGUAGAAUUCCACGUGUAGCAGUGAAAUGCGUAGAGAUGUGGAGGAACACCGAUGGCGAAGGCAGCCCCCUGGGUCAAGACUGACGCUCAUGCACGAAAGCGUGGGGAGCAAACAGGAUUAGAUACCCUGGUAGUCCACGCCCUAAACGAUGUCUACUAGUUGUCGGGUCUUAAUUGACUUGGUAACGCAGCUAACGCGUGAAGUAGACCGCCUGGGGAGUCGGUCGCAAGAUUAAAACAGAAAGAUUGACGGNNGAGAGNGCGACGGACGACGACGAGGGAGGAGG